rnacentral:rRNA from 1 species
AGACUUUGAUUAUGGCUCAGAACGAACGCUGGCGGAAUGCCUAACACAUGCAAGUCGAACGAGACCUUCGGGUCUAGUGGCGCACGGGUGAGUAACGCGUGGGAAUCUGCCUUGGGGUACGGAAUAACUCAGGGAAACUUGAGCUAAUACCGUAUGAUGUCGUGAGACCAAAGAUUUAUCGCCCUGAGAGGAGCCCGCGUCAGAUUAGCUAGUUGGUGGGGUAAUGGCCUACCAAGGCGACGAUCUGUAGCUGGUCUGAGAGGAUGAUCAGCCACACUGGGACUGAGACACGGCCCAGACUCCUACGGGAGGCAGCAGUGGGGAAUAUUGGACAAUGGGCGCAAGCCUGAUCCAGCAAUUCCGCGUGAGCGAACGAAGGCCUUCGGGUUGUAANAGCUCUUUCGGCGGGGACGAUAAUGACGGUACCCGCAGAAGAAGCCCCGGCUAACUCCGUGCCAGCAGCCGCGGUAAUACGGAGGGGGCUAGCGUUGUUCGGAAUCACUGGGCGUAAAGCGCACGUAGGCGGCUACUCAAGUCAGAGGUGAAAGCCUGGGGCUCAACCUCAGAAUUGCCUUUUGAACACUAGGUAGCUUGAAGAUGGGAGAGGUAAGUGGAAUUCCGCAGUGUAGAGGUGAACAUUCGUAGAUAUUCGGAAGAACACCAGUUGGUCGAAGGCGGUUACUGGACCAUUUCUUGACUGCUUGAGGUGUCGAAAUGCGUGGGGAGCCAAACAGGAUUAGAUACCCUGGU